CCUACGGGAGGCAGCAGUGGGGAAUAUUGCACAAUGGGCGAAACCCUGAUCCAGCGACGCCGCGUGGGUGAAGAAGCGCCUCGGCGCGUAAAGCCCUGUCAGCAGGGAAGAAAAUGACGGUACCUGAAGAAGAAGCCCCGGCUAACUACGUGCCAGCAGCCGCGGUAAUACGUAGGGGGCAAGCGUUAUCCGGAUUUACUGGGUGUAAAGGGGGCGCAGACGGCGAUGCAAGCCAGGAGUGAAAGCCCGGGGCCCAACCCCGGGACUGCUCUUGGAACUGCGUGGCUAGAGUGCAGGAGGGGCAGGCGGAAUUCCUGGUGUAGCGGUGAAAUGCGUAGAUAUCAGGAGGAACACCGGUGGCGAAGGCGGCCUGCUGGACUGCAACUGACGUUGAGGCCCGAAAGCGUGGGGAGCAAACAGGAUUAGAUACCCGAGUAGUC
rnacentral:rRNA from 1 species